CCUGGUAGCAGUAGGGCGAGUGCCGCGGGGGACCGAGCAUCUGGCCUUUGGUAUUAUUGCCAGAGGCCUCACCCUCUUCAUGAAUAUGAAAACAUAGGGCGGAGCGACCGGGCCCGGAAGUGGCGCGGCUGAGUCACUUCGGCGGCGAGGAUGAGGUAGAACUUGUGGUAGGUGGUGUCGUCGUUGUCGUCUUUCGGCGCUUGAGGAGUUUCACUGCGUUUGCUCUUCUUUCUUCCUGCCUUGCCUCCACCAUCAUGAUGGAGGAGAUAGACCGGUUCCAGGUGCCUGCCGUUCAAGCCGAGAUGCAGCUGCUGGUCGAGUCCCUUGAUUAGAAGUCCUUUCAUUCAUCAGUUUUGACGACUUGAGGUGGUAGGUACUUGAGAAGUCUCCGCUUUUCCAUAUACAGUGCACGUAGCAGAAGAAACAGACAGAAACAUGGACCUAGCCUCCAAGUUUACAACUGAGAAGGAUCCAACAGCUGCAUCUAUUUUGGACAGAGAUUGUGAUACGAGAGAGGGAGAGACUGUAGCCAUGAACUAUAAGCCGUCCCCACUUCAAGUGAAAUUAGUGCUAUGAGGCAGAGUAAGCCUCCAAAGCAAACUCAGAGUGGAUGGUUGUAAGAGUCAGUCCAAAGAGAACAAUAUUGUCUCAACAUUGCCAACAGAGACCUGGAGAUGGAAUGUGGUCCUCAUGGACACCAAGACACAAAGACCCUGGGAAAGAGAACUGUAUGGUACGAGGAGUACUAUGCCGCUCCCUGCUACCUGGGACUGAAAGGAACAACUAAAAUAAGGCCACAUAACCGCUGUCCAGAAGAUGGAUCACAACCACUGUCGUAGCAACAAACCAGAAAAAUUGAACUUCAGGUGAACUUUCUCCAUUGUAAUAUCAUUAUAAUACAAAAACACUCCUCCUGGUCUGAAGCUACUCGCCUCUAAGGCAAACCACGCCUCAGGCACUCCUCUUUGGACAUGGGUGGUAACCUUGCUCAAGAAGGCAGAGACUGGCAACAAUCCAUGGGCCAGAGGAGGAGCAAGGUGUGUUGCUUGGCAUAAAAGAUGGCUCCUUAGCAACCGAACUUUGAAGAUCUUCCCCACGAAGGAUCACGACAAUCGGAAGGACUGGUGGGAUGCUGCCUGGUCCUGGGACUAUAGGGACACCUUGGACCUGUGGUGGUAGCUAUAAUCCUCUUUCCUUUUCUUUUUACUUUACCUUUUCUUCCCUUCCUGUCACUCUAUUUACUGCAUGCCGCUUUACGGGCAAACAAUAAAGUUGCGCUGUUUGAUCAAAGCAUAA